rnacentral:tRNA from 1 species
GGGGUUGUGGCUCAGUGGUAGAGCGCUUGCCUUGCACGCGCGAGGUUCUGGGUUCAAUCCUCAGCACCA